rnacentral:rRNA from 1 species
CCCUUAGAUGUUCUGGGCCGCACGCGUGCUACACUGAGUGGAUCAGCGGGUCAGGUUGCGCGAAAGCGUUUCCUAAUCUUUAAAUCCGCUCGUGAUGGGGAUUGACGGUUGCAAUUUUCUGUCAUGAACGAGGAAUACCUUGUAAGUGCGGGUCAUCAUCCCGCGCUGAAUACGUCCCUGCCCUUUGUACACACCGCCCGUCGCUCCUACCGAUUGAAUGUUCCGGUGAGCUCUUCGGACUGCGCGGUCUGCAGUUUCUGCGUUCCGUGCGGAAAGUUGCGCAAACCUUAACAUUUAGAGGAAGGAGAAGUCGUAACA